rnacentral:rRNA from 1 species
UACGUAGGGGGCAAGCGUUGUCCGGAUUUAUUGGGCGUAAAGAGCGUGUAGGCGGCCAGGUAGGUCCGUUGUGAAAACUCGAGGCUCAACCUCGAGACGCCGAUGGAAACCAUCUGGCUAGAGUCCGGAAGAGGAGAGUGGAAUUCCCGGUGUAGCGGUGAAAUGCGCAGAUAUCAGGAAGAACACCCGUGGCGAAGGCGGUUCUCUGGGCAUUACCUGACGCUGAGGAGCGAAAGUGUGGGGAGCGAACAGG